rnacentral:rRNA from 1 species
AUUGAGCGCUGGCGGCAUGCCUUACACAUGCAAGUCGAACGGCAGCACGGGUGCUUGCACCUGGUGGCGAGUGGCGAACGGGUGAGUAAUACAUCGGAACGUACCUUAUCGUGGGGGAUAACGCAGCGAAAGCUGUGCUAAUACCGCAUACGCCCUGAGGGGGAAAGCGGGGGAUCGCAAGACCUCGCGCGAUUAGAGCGGCCGAUGCCUGAUUAGCUAGUUGGUGGGGUAAAAGCCCACCAAGGCGACGAUCAGUAGCUGGUCUGAGAGGACGAUCAGCCAGACUGGGACUGAGACACGGCCCAGACUCCUACGGGAGGCAGCAGUGGGGAAUUUUGGACAAUGGGGCAACCCUGAUCCAGCAAUGCCGCGUGAGUGAAGAAGGCCUUCGGGUUGUAAAGCUCUUUUGUCAGGGAAGAAACACCGGCUCUAACACAGUCCGGGAAUGACGGUACCUGAAGAAUAAGCACCGGCUAACUACGUGCCAGCCGCCGCCGUAA